GCAGUGCGGCUUGGCUGGGUUGUGUUUCAGAGGACGUACAGCUCUCGACCUUCGCCUCUCCGGAGUCCGUACGGGAGUUGCAGCGACGAGACAAGACUAACUACCAAUUGAAUACCACAAAGUCCCAUCUCCUAGCACCUCAGAAUUUUCCCCAUGGGCCAACUAGCAAUCUAGACCGUGUAAGUACACAUACUUCAAGCCUGCUUAUCGCUGUGUGGAGGAGAAGCAUGAGCUGCAGUGGCUCGACGCCACCAAAUGCUUCUUCAAGGGCCCCUGUGGAUAGAGAGCCAUUGCACUGGACCACCUGCCACACAAACACUGCAGUAACUGUGUCCUGUUCAAAUGGGAAAGAGACGGCAUGUUGAAGGUAAGUGUCGCGUUUUAGUGGGUUUGGAGUUCAGAUGGACCCAAAGCACUUCCUUCUCCCAUCUGAUUGGUCCCGGGUUUGACUACUACUUCCUGUUCCUGUCCACGGGAGAAGUCAGGGCCUAAGAUAGCUGGGGAGCUGCUGAAGCCUCGAGGUGACGAGCAGCCCAAGUUCCUCAACGGCAUGCUGUAGUCCUCAGUCACUUACAGUCACCUUCAUCAUUGUCUUCAUCAUAGGAAGCGACUGCUGCUGGUGCUAUUGGACUUUCUGGUGUAUAUUUCUCUGCAUGUUGUAUGGUGUUUUUUUACUGUGGAUAUAAUUUGAAGCUGAUUAUGGAUUUUAAAUUGCUGUGUUUUGAAUGGAUUCAAUUGUAUUUCCGAAUGAGUUGUUUGUUGUUCCCUCCUGCUGGCUUUGAUGGGAAUGUGCUGAUUAAAUCGUGCUGA